UGGGGAAUCUUGCGCAAUGGGCGAAAGCCUGACGCAGCAACGCCGCGUGAGGGAUGAAGGUCUUCGGGUUGUAAACCUCUUUCAAGCAGGGACGAUAAUGACGGUACCUGCAGAAGAAGCUCCGGCCAACUACGUGCCAGCAGCCGCGGUAAUACGUAGGGAGCGAGCGUUGUCCGGAAUCAUUGGGCGUAAAGGGCUCGUAGGCGGCUUGGUAAGUUAGAUGUGAAACCUCCAGGCUCAACCUGGAGUCGCCAUCUAAUACUGCCAUGGCUAGAGUCUGGUAGGGGUCUACGGAACUCCUGGUGUAGCGGUGAAAUGCGCAGAUAUCAGGAAGAACACCGGUGGCGAAGGCGGUAGACUGGGCCAGUACUGACGCUGAUGAGCGAAAGCGUGGGGAGCGAACAGGAUUAGAUACCCCCGUAGUCC
rnacentral:rRNA from 1 species